rnacentral:rRNA from 1 species
AUUGAACGCUGGCGGAAUGCUUUACACAUGCAAGUCGAACGGCAGCACGGACUUCGGUCUGGUGGCGAGUGGCGAACGGGUGAGUAAUAUAUCGGAACGUGCCCAGUCGUGGGGGAUAACGUAGUGAAAAUUACGCUAAUACCGCAUACGAUCUAUGGAUGAAAGCGGGGGAUCGCAAGACCUCGCGCGAUUGGAGCGGCCGAUAUCAGAUUAGGUAGUUGGUGAGGUAAAGGCUCACCAAGCCGACGAUCUGUAGCUGUUCUGAGAGGACGACCAGCCACAGUGGAACUGAGACACGGUCCAGACUCCUACGGGAGGCAGAAGUGGGGAAUUUUGGACAAGGGACGCAAGUCUGAUCCAGCCUUUCCGCGUGCAGGACGAAGGCCUUCGGGUUGUAAACUGCUUUUGUACAGAACGAAAAGGUCUCUAUUAAUACUAGGGGCUCAUGACGGUACUGUAAGAAUAAGCACCGGCUAACUACGUGCCAGCAGCCGCGGUAA